rnacentral:rRNA from 1 species
UACGUAGGGUGCAAGCGUUGUUCGGAAUUACUGGGCGUAAAGCGCACGUAGGCGGCUUUGUAAGUUAGAGGUGAAAGCCCGGGGCUCAACUCCGGAAUUGCCUUUAAGACUGCAUCGCUAGAACGUCGGAGAGGUAAGUGGAAUUCCGAGUGUAGAGGUGAAAUUCGUAGAUAUUCGGAAGAACACCAGUGGCGAAGGCGACUUACUGGACACAUAUUGACGCUGAGGUGGCGAAAGCGUGGGGAGCAAACAGG